rnacentral:rRNA from 1 species
GAUGAACGCUGACAGAAUGCUUAACACAUGCAAGUCUACUUGAAUUUGGGUUUUUUAACUUAGAUUUGGGUGGCGGACGGGUGAGUAACGCGUAAAGAACUUGCCUCACAGUUAGGGACAACAUUUGGAAACGAAUGCUAAUACCUGAUAUUAUGAAUAUAUGGCAUCAUAUAAUUAUGAAAGCUAUAAGCGCUGUGAGAGAGCUUUGCGUCCCAUUAGCUAGUUGGAGAGGUAACGGCUCACCAAGGCGAUGAUGGGUAGCCGGCCUGAGAGGGUGAACGGCCAAAAGGGGACUGAGACACGGCCCUUACUCCUACGGGAGGAAGCAGUGGGGAAUAUUGGACAAUGGACCAAGAGUCUGAUCCAGCAAUUCUGUGUGCACGAUGACGUUUUUCGGAAUGUAAAGUGCUUUCAGUUGGGAAGAAAAAAAUGACGGUACCAACAGAAGAAGUGACGGCUAAAUACGUG